rnacentral:rRNA from 1 species
GGGCGUAAAGCGGGCGCAGACGGUUACUUAAGCAGGAUGUGAAAUCCCCGGGCUCAACCCGGGAACUGCGUUCUGAACUGGGUGACUCGAGUGUGUCAGAGGGAGGUGGAAUUCCACGUGUAGCAGUGAAAUGCGUAGAGAUGUGGAGGAAUACCGAUGGCGAAGGCAGCCUCCUGGGAUAACACUGACGUUCAUGUCCGAAAGCGUGGGUAGCAAACAGGAUUAGAUACCCUGGUAGUCCACGCCCUAAACGAUGUCAAUUAGCUGUUGGGCAACUUGAUUGCUUGGUAGCGUAGCUAACGCGUGAAAUUGACCGCCUGGGGAGUACGGUCGCAAGAUUAAAACUCAAAGGAAUUGACGGGGACCCGCACAAGCGGUGGAUGAUGUGGAUUAAUUCGAUGCAACGCGAAGAACCUUACCUGGUUUUGACAUGUGCGGAAUCCUCCGGAGACGGAGGAGUGCCUUCGGGAGCCGUAACACAGGUGCUGCAUGGCUGUCGUCAGCUCGUGUCGUGAGAUGUUGGGUUAAGUCCCGCAACGAGCGCAACCCUUGUCAUUAGUUGCCAUCAUUCGGUUGGGCACUCUAAUGAGACUGCCGGUGACAAGCCGGAGGAAGGUGGGGAUGACGUCAAGUCCUCAUGGCCCUUAUGACCAGGGCUUCACACGUCAUACAAUGGUCGGUACAGAGGGUAGCCAAGCCGCGAGGCGGAGCCAAUCUCACAAAACCGAUCGUAGUCCGGAUUGCACUCUGCAACUCGAGUGCAUGAAGUCGGAAUCGCUAGUAAUCGCAGGUCAGCAUACUGCGGUGAAUACGUUCCCGGGUCUUGUACACACCGCCCGUCACACCAUGGGAGUGGGGGAUACCAG